rnacentral:piRNA from 1 species
UAGCCAAUGUAACUAAUUGCUGUGAGC